UACAGAGGGUGCAAGCGUUGUUCGGAAUUAUUGGGCGUAAAGCGCGUGUAGGCGGCUUUGUAAGUCGGGUGUGAAAGCCCUCAGCUCAACUGAGGAAGUGCGCCCGAAACUGCAGAGCUUGAGUACCGGAGAGGAUGGCGGAAUUCCCCAAGUAGAGGUGAAAUUCGUAGAUAUGGGGAGGAACACCGGUGGCGAAGGCGGCCAUCUGGACGGAUACUGACGCUGAGACGCGAAAGCGUGGGUAGCAAACAGG
rnacentral:rRNA from 1 species